CUGGACUUCCAUGUUCAUAUCAAAGGCUUCAUGCACACUGUAUAAACAGGUGUAUACAGGUAUUGAUAUGAACAGGUGUAGAUAUGAACAGGUGUAGAUAUGAACAGGUGUAGAUAUGAACAGGUGUAUACAGGUGUAGAUAUAAACAGGUGUAUACAGGUGUAGAUAUGAACAGGUGUAUACAGGUAUAGAUAUGAACAGGUGUAUACAGGUGUAGAUAUGAACAGGUGUAUACAGUUGUAGAUAUGAAAAGGUGUAGAUAUGAACAGGUGCCUCUACAGGUGUGUGUAGGUUGUGUCUACAGGUGCCUCUACAGGUGUGUGUAGGUUGUGUCUACAGGUGUGUCUGCAGGUGUCCCAGGUCAUGCUGGAGGUACAGACAGGAAGGGUCACCAGGUCAGAAGGUAGAGGUCACUCCAACCUGAUUAUUUUCCUCUC
ensembl:lncRNA